AGCAGUAGCCGCGGUAAUACGAAGGGGGCUAGCGUUGUUCGGAAUUACUGGGCGUAAAGCGCACGUAGGCGGAUAUUUAAGUCAGGGGUGAAAUCCCGCAGCUCAACUGCGGAACUGCCUUUGAUACUGGGUAUCUUGAGUAUGGAAGAGGUUAGUGGAAUUGCGAGUGUAGAGGUGAAAUUCGUAGAUAUUCGCAGGAACACCAGUGGCGAAGGCGGCUAACUGGUCCAUAACUGACACUGAGGUGCGAAAGCGUGGGGAGCAAACAGGAUUAGAUACCCCUGUAGUCCCUGUCUCUUAUAC
rnacentral:rRNA from 1 species